AGAGUUUGAUCAUGGCUCAGAUUGAACGCUGGCGGCAGGCCUAACACAUGCAAGUCGAGCGGUAACAGAUUGAUAGCUUGCUAUCAAUGCUGACGAGCGGCGGACGGGUGAGUAAUGCCUGGGAAUAUGCCCUGAUGUGGGGGAUAACUAUUGGAAACGAUAGCUAAUACCGCAUAAUCUCUUCGGAGCAAAGAGGGGGACCUUCGGGCCUCUCGCGUCAGGAUUAGCCCAGGUGGGAUUAGCUUGUUGGUGGGGUAAUGGCUCACCAAGGCAACGAUCCCUAGCUGGUCUGAGAGGAUGAUCAGCCACACUGGAACUGAGACACGGUCCAGACUCCUACGGGAGGCAGCAGUGGGGAAUAUUGCACAAUGGGGGAAACCCUGAUGCAGCCAUGCCGCGUGUAUGAAGAAGGCCUUCGGGUUGUAAAGUACUUUCAGUUGUGAGGAAGACAGUAAAGUUAAUAGCUUUGCUAUUUGACGUUAGCAACAGAAGAAGCACCGGCUAACUCCGUGCCAGCAGCCGCGGUAAUACGGAGGGUGCGAGCGUUAAUCGGAAUUACUGGGCGUAAAGCGCAUGCAGGUGGUUUGUUAAGCAAGAUGUGAAAGCCCGGGGCUCAACCUCGGAACAGCAUUUUGAACUGGCAGACUAGAGUACUGUAGAGGGGGGUAGAAUUUCA
rnacentral:rRNA from 1 species